GAAGAAAUAUUUAUUUAAAAACAAUAGUGAAGUGUAUCUUUAAAAAUGAACUUUUGGAAAAGGUCUUGGUACUUAACAGGUGAAGUGAUGCAAAGUGUUAAGCCUGGAGUCCGCAGCUAUAAUCUUAGUUCUGCACAGUAGCAGAACUGUGCAGUUCUCAUAUGAUCUUCACCUGAAUAUCACAUGAGUGACAUAAUAGGUAUCAACAUCUACAGGAAGUAAACAUCAGCAUCCCUUCACCCUUUGCUGGGACCUCUAGGCCUACCCUCUGCCAGAAUCAGACUGAAGAUCUCUGCCUGCAAAGCCAGUGAGAAGGUGGACUAUUGUUUAAGCCCCCACCUGAUUCCCCCAAAGAUAUUGUUUCUCUGAAAGCAAAGUUCACUCAUUUUCAUUGAACAAAAAAUUUGAACUAGUGAAAAAUUAUCUCUAUCUUUGCAAAUGAUUAUAUAUAUCUAAAUCUGUAAAGUUGCUAAAGGCAUGUCAUUUUGACUCUUAAAAAUAAAAAUGCUCAAGUCA